CAGCUACCGAUAGCGCAUAGUACCGUGAGGGAAAGGUGAAAAGGACCCCGGGAGGGGAGUGAAAUAGAACCUGAAACCGUAGACCUACAAGCGGUCAGAGCCUAUAGCAAUAUGGGUGAUGGCGUGCCUUUUGUAGAAUGAGCCUGCGAGUUACCAUAUGUAGCGAGGUUAAGUGAUAGAAGUCACGGAGCCGGAGGGAAACCGAGUCUGAAUAGGGCGAAUAGUUGCAUGUGGUAGACCCGAAGCCAAGUGAUCUAUCCAUGGUCAGGUUGAAGCUUUGGUAAAGCAAAGUGGAGGACCGAACACUAGUCCGUUGAAAAGGGCAGUGAUGAACUGUGGAUCGGAGUGAAAGGCUAAUCAAACUUGGAGAUAGCUGGUACUCCCCGAAAUAGCUUUAGGGCUAGCCUUAUAUGGACUGUUACGGAGGUAGAGCACUGAAUGGGUGCGGGCCCUUCACCGGGUACCAAACUUAAUCAAACUCCGAAUGCCGUAACAAAAUGUAUAGGAGUCAGACUACGGGUAAUAAGGUCCGUGGUCGAAAGGGAAACAGCCCAGACCGUUAGCUAAGGUCCCAAAGAUACACUAAGUGGGAAAGGAAGUGUAAUUGCGAAGACAGCCAGGAGGUUGGCUUAGAAGCAGCCAUACCUUUAAAGAGUGCGUAAUAGCUCACUGGUCGAGUAGUUAUGCACUGACAAUGUAACGGGGCUAAGUGUAUCACCGAAGCUACGGCAUAGUAUGGGAACAUACUGUGGGUAGGGGAGCGUUCUAUGUACUGAUGAAGGUGUACUGGAAGGUAUGCUGGAGGGGAUAGAAGUGAGAAUGCAGGCAUGAGUAACGAAAAGACGGGUGAGAUCCCCGUCCGCCGAAAGCCUAAGGUUUCCAGGGUAAAGGUCAUCUUCCCAAGGGUUAGUCGGCCCCUAAGGCGAGGCUGAAAAGCGUAGUCGAUGGGAAACGGGUUAAUAUUCCCGUACCUCCAUAUAGUCCGAUGGAAUGACGCAUAGGGCAACACCGAGCCGGGCGAUGGUCGUCCCGGUUCAAGCAUCGAGCCGAUGAGAGUGACAGGCAAAUCCGUCACUUGAGGGAAGAUGUGAGUACGAGCGAACCUACGGGGGAGCGAAGUCGGCAGCGUCGUCGUGCCAAGAAAUAAUUUCUCAGGAUAACUAUAUGGGGACCGUACCGCAAACCGACACAGGUAGGCGAGCUGAAUAUGCUAAGGCGCUCGGAAGAAUUCGCGUUAAGGAACUCGGCAAAAUGCACACGUAACUUCGGGAGAAGUGUGGCCUCAUCUGGAUAGCAAUGUUUGGACGAGGUUGCAGAGAAUUGGUUCAAUCGACUGUUUACCAAAAACACAGGUCUGUGCGAAUCUGCAAAGAGAUGUAUACGGACUGACACCUGCCCGGUGCUGGAAGGUUAAGAGGAGUUGUUAGGACUUGAUCCGAAGCAGUGAAUUGAAGCCCCAGUAAACGGCGGCCGUAACUAUAACGGUCCUAAGGUAGCGAAAUUCCUUGUCGGGUAAGUUCCGACCCGCACGAAUGGUGUAACGAAUUGAACGCUGUCUCAACGCGAAAUCCGGUGAAAUUGAAGUAUCGGUGAAGAUGCCGAUUACUUGUGGUUAGACGGAAAGACCCCGUGAACCUUUACUGCAGCUUGGCAUUGAAAUUUGGAUUAUGAUGUGUAGGAUAGGUGGGAGACGUUGAACUAUGGUCGUCAGGCUGUAGGGAGUCGUUGGUGAAAUACCACCCUUCAUACUUCAGGUUUCUAACACUGUCCGUGAAACCGGAUAGUGGACCAUGCCAGGUGGGC
rnacentral:rRNA from 1 species